AACGAACGCUGGCGGCGUGCCUAAUACAUGCAAGUCGCACGAGAAAGCCUUCGGGUGAGUAUAGUGGCGCACGGGAGAGUAAUGCGUAGGAACGUACCUUAAAGUGGGGAAUAACCACGGGAAACUGUGGCUAAUACCGCAUGUGGUCUUCGGACUAAAGAUGGCCUCUACUUGUAAGCUAUCGCUUUAAGAUCGGCCUACGUCCCAUUAGCUUGAUGGCGGGUAACGGCCCACCAUGGCUACGAUGGGUAGCUGGUCUGAGAGGAUGAUCAGCCUCACUGGGACUGAGACACGGCCCAGACUCCUACGGGAGGCAGCAGUAGGGAAUUUUGCACAAUGGACGCAAGUCUGAUGCAGCAACGCCGCGUGUGUGAAGAAGGCUCUUGGGUUGUAAAGCACUUUCAGCAGGGAAGAAGGGUAACAUUUCAAAUAGGCUUGUAUCUGACGGUACCUGACUAAGAAGCACCGGCUAACUCCGUGCCAG
rnacentral:rRNA from 1 species